GUGACAGUCCCGUACAGGAAGCAUGAUUGGACGUAUUAAGUAGGGCGGGACACGUGUAAUCCUGUCUGAAGAUCGGAGGACCACCUUCGAAGGCUAAGUACUCCUUACUGACCGAUAGCGAACCAGUACCGUGAGGGAAAGGUGAAAAGCACCCCGACGAGGGGAGUGAAACAGUACCUGAAACCGAACGCCUACAAGCAGUCGGAGGGGCCUCGAGCCCUGACGGCGUACCUUUUGUAUAAUGGGUCAUCGACUUGGUCUCACGAGCAAGCUUAAGCCGAUAGGUGUAGGCGCAGCGAAAGCGAGUCUUAAUAGGGCGUCGAGUUCGUGAGAUCAGACCCGAAACCGAGUGAUCUAGGCAUGACCAGGAUGAAGGUAAGGUAACACUUACUGGAGGUCCGAACCCACACCUGUUGAAAAAGGUCGGGAUGAGUUGUGCCUAGGGGUGAAAGGCCAAUCAAACUCGGAGAUAGCUGGUUCUCCGCGAAAUCUAUUUAGGUAGAGCGUCAUCCGAAUACCCCGGGGGGUAGAGCACUGGAUGGGUAAUGGGGCCCCACAGGCUUACUGAUCCUAACCAAACUCCGAAUACCCGGGAGUACUAGAUGGCAGACACACGGCGGAUGCUAACGUCCGUCGUGGAGAGGGAAACAACCCUGACCUACAGCUAAGGCCCCCAAUUCGUGGCUAAGUGGGAAAGCAGGUGAGACGGCCAAAACAACCAGGAGGUUGGCUUAGAAGCAGCCAUCCUUUAAAGAUAGCGUAACAGCUCACUGGUCUAAUCAAGCUGUCUUGCGGCGAAGAUGUAACGGGGCUCAAGCCACGAGCCGAAGCUUAGGAGUGCGCAAGCACUGGUAGCGGAGCGUAGUGUGAUAAAACCCAUGCCUCUUCUGCACCCUCGGGUGCAUCGGAGGCCCGGGUUUGACUGUGAAGCCGGGGCGUGAGCCAUCCGGUGGAGUGAUCACUAGCGAGAAUGAUGACAUGAGUAGCGACAAACAGGGUGAGAGACCCUGUCGCCGAAAGUCCAAGGGUUCCUGCUUAAAGCUAAUCUGAGCAGGGUAAGCCGGCCCCUAAGGCGAGGCCGAAAGGCGUAGUCGAUGGGAACCAGGUUAAUAUUCCUGGGCCAGGAGGAUGUGACGGAUCGAAAGAGUUGUUCAGCCUUAUCGGAUUGGCUGGGCAGCCGGACGGUUCCCGGAAAUAGCCCUCCACCAGACCGUACCCUAAACCGACACAGGUGGACUGGUAGAGCAUACCAAGGCGCUUGAGAGAACGAUGUUGAAGGAACUCGGCAAAAUGCCUCCGUAAGUUCGCGAGAAGGAGGCCCGGUUCCUGGGCAACCAGGGGCCGGGGGCACAACCCAGGGGGUGGCGACUGUUUACUAAAAACACAGGGCUCUGCGAAGUCGCAAGACGACGUAUAGGGUCUGACGCCUGCCCGGUGCCGGAAGGUUAAAAGGAGGUGUGCAAGCACCGAAUUGAAGCCCCGGUAAACGGCGGCCGUAACUAUAACGGUCCUAAGGUAGCGAAAUUCCUUGUCGGGUAAGUUCCGACCUGCACGAAUGGCGUAACGACUUCCCCGCUGUCUCCAACAUCGACUCAGCGAAAUUGAAUUGCCUGUCAAGAUGCAGGCUACCCGCGGUUAGACGGAAAGACCCCGUGCACCUUUACUACAGCUUCACACUGGCAUCAGGCAUGUGAUGUGCAGGAUAGGUGGUAGGCUUCGAAGCCGGGACGCCAGUCUCGGUGGAGCCACCCUUGAGAUACCACCCUUCGCCUGCUUGAUGUCUAACCGCGGUCCGUCAUCCGGAUCCGGGACCCUGUGUGGCGGGUAGUUUGACUGGGGCGGUCGCCUCCUAAAGAGUAACGGAGGCGCGCGAAGGUUGGCUCAGAGCGGUCGGAAAUCGCUCGUUGAGUGCAAUGGCAGAAGCCAGCCUGACUGCGAGACUGACAAGUCGAGCAGA
rnacentral:rRNA from 1 species